GACGCGUACGAGAAGACUGUCGGCGUGGGAGGGAAGCUGGACAACAUCCUCACAGUCAUCCGCAUCGCCUUCUUCUUCGACGACAAGGAGCUCGCCAAGAAGGAGAUCGACCGCGCCAAGGUGGAGCUCAGCAAGGGAGGUGACUGGGAGCGGCGG
rnacentral:snRNA from 1 species